ACAAACGCUGGCGGCGUGCCUAAUACAUGCAAGUCGAACGAGGUAGCAAUACCUAGUGGCGCACGGGUGAGUAACGCGUGAGUAAUCUUCCUUAGAGUGGGGGAUAACCAGUCGAAAGAUUGGCUAAUACCGCAUAUGACCACAGGAUCUGCGGAUCUAGGGGUAAAAGGUUUUUCGCUCUAAGAUGAGCUCGCGUAAGAUUAGCUAGUUGGUGAGGUAACGGCUCACCAAGGCAACGAUCUUUAACAGGUCUGAGAGGAUGAUCUGUCACACUGGAACUGAGACACGGUCCAGACUCCUACGGGAGGCAGCAGUAGGGAAUAUUGCACAAUGGAGGAAACUCUGAUGCAGCGACGCCGCGUGAGUGAUGAAGGACUUCGGUUCGUAAAGCUCUGUCGUAUGGGAAUAAGAAAGUGAAUGUACCAUGCAAGAAAGGAUCGGCUAACUUCGU
rnacentral:rRNA from 1 species